GACGUAGGUGGCGAACGUUAUCCGGAAUUAUUGGGCGUAAAGGGUGCGUAGAUGGCUUGACAAGUUAGUGGUGGGAAAUCGAGGCUCAACCUCGUGGAAGUCACUAAUACUAUCAAACUAGAGUGCAGGAGAGGUUAAUGGAACUCCAUGUGUAGCGGUAAAAUGCGACGAUAUAUGGAUGAAUACCGGUGGCGAAGGCGGCAUCCUGGACCGGCAUUGACGCUGAGGAGCGAAAGCCAGGGGAGCAAACGGG
rnacentral:rRNA from 1 species